CUUAAACGACUCUCGGCAACGGAUAUCUCGGCUCUUGCAUCGAUGAAGAACGUAGCGAAAUGCGAUACUUGGUGUGAAUUGCAGAAUCCCGUGAACCAUCGAGUCUUUGAACGCAAGUUGCGCCCGAGGCCAUUUAGGUUGAGGGCACGUCUGCCUGGGCGUCACACACAGCGUCGUUCCUAAC
rnacentral:rRNA from 1 species